CUGCAAGGAGCCUGGUAUAGCUGGAGAGGAAUUCUUAAUCCACUGUGGUGAUGCUAUUACUUUGGGACUUACCAAUUUGGGCUUCUUCCAGAGCUGAAAA